CAGCAAUGGAUCUCUUGGCUCUCGCAUCGAUGAAGAACGCAGCGAAUCGCGAUAUGUAAUGUGAAUUGCAGAUCUACAGUGAAUCAUCGAAUCUUUGAACGCACCUUGCGCUCCUCGGUGUUCCGAGGAGCAUGCCUGUUUGAGCGUCAGUAAAUUCUCAACCCCUCUCGAUUUGCUUCGAGAGGGUGCUUGGAUAGUGGGGGCUGCCGGAGUCUCAGGACUCGGGCUCUCCUGAAAUGCAUUGGCUUGCGGUCGAUUUUCGACUUUGCGCGACAAGGCUUUCGGCGUGAUAAUGAUCGCCGUUCGCCGAAGCGCAUGAAUGAACGUCCCGCGCCUCUAAUAAGUCGACUGGUACCUCUCUUAGGAGAGCGAAGGUCUUCCUUCUUGACGUUUGACCUCAAAUCAGGUAGGACUACCCGCUGAACUUAAGCAUAUCAAUAAGCGGAGGAAAAGAAACUAACAAGGAUUCCCCUAGUAACUGCGAGUGAACCGGGAAAAGCUCAAAUUUUGAAUCUGGCGGUCUUAGGGCCGUCCGAGUUGUAAUCUAGAGAAGCGUCUUCCGCGCUGGACCGUGUAUAAGUUUCCUGGAACGGAACGUCGUAGAGGGUGAGAAUCCCGUCUUUGACACGGACUGCCAGGGCUAUGUGAUGCGCUCUCGACGAGUCGAGUUGUUUGGGAAUGCAGCUCAAAUAGGGUGGUAAAUUCCAUCUAAAGCUAAAUACAGGNGAGAGACCGAUAGCGAACAAGUACCGUGAGGGAAAGAUGAAA
rnacentral:rRNA from 1 species